rnacentral:piRNA from 1 species
ACACGAGUCGAUGGGGGUU